rnacentral:rRNA from 1 species
GACGAACGCUGGCGGCGUGCUUAACACAUGCAAGUCGAACGGAAAGGCCUGCUUUCCCUUGUGGAUUGCGGGUACUCGAGUGGCCAACGGGUGAGUAACACGUGAGUGAUCUGCCCCCAACUUGGGUAUAAGCCUGGGAAACUGGGUCUAAUUCCCGAUAGGACUGCAGGGUGGUGCCUGUGGUGGAAAACGAUUUUCUAGUGGUUGGGGAUGAGCUCGCGGCCUAUCAGCUUGUUGGUGGGGUAAUGGCCUACCAAGGCGGCGACGGGUAGCCGGCCUGAGAGGGUGGACGGCCACAUUGGGACUGAGAUACGGCCCAGACUCCUACGGGAGGCAGCAGUGGGGAAUAUUGCACAAUGGGCGGAAGCCUGAUGCAGCGACGCCGCGUGGGGGAUGACGGCCUUCGGGUUGUAAACUCCUUUCGACCGCGAGGAAGCCACCUGGUUGGAAGGGUGGUGACGGUAGUGGUAGAAGAAGCACCGGCUAACUACGUG